GAUGAACGCUGGCGGCGUGCCUAAUACAUGCAAGUCGAGCGAACAGACGAGGAGCUUGCUCCUCUGACGUUAGCGGCGGACGGGUGAGUAACACGUGGAUAACCUACCUAUAAGACUGGGAUAACUUCGGGAAACCGGAGCUAAUACCGGAUAAUAUAUUGAACCGCAUGGUUCAAUAGUGAAAGACGGUUUUGCUGUCACUUAUAGAUGGAUCCGCGCCGGAUUAGCUAGUUGGUACGGUAACGGCUUACCAAGGCAACGAUGCGUAGCCGACCUGAGAGGGUGAUCGGCCACACUGGAACUGAGACACGGUCCAGACUCCUACGGGAGGCAGCAGUGGGGAAUAUUCCGCAAUGGGCGAAAGCCUGACCGAGCCACGCCGCGUGAGUGAAGAAGGUCUUCGGAUCGUAAAACACUGUUAUUAGGGAAGAACAAAAGUGGAAGUAAACAUGGCCGUUUUGACGGUACCAACUCAGAAAGCCACGGCUAACUACGUG
rnacentral:rRNA from 1 species